AAGUCGUAACAAGGUAUCCGUAGGUGAACCUGCGGAUGGAUCAUUAUGGAAUGGUUGGAUGAUUGUGAGUGAUUUUAUUAAUAGGAGAGUGGUGUUGGUUGGGAAGCGAAGCAGGAUUGCGAAGCAAGACAGCCAACAUUGCCCACGUUAAACUAUAUAAAUCUAACAUAAAUACACAUAACAAGAAACAACUUUUAGCAACGGAUCUCUUGGCUCUC
rnacentral:misc_RNA from 1 species